rnacentral:rRNA from 1 species
AAGGUAGCAUAAUAAAUUGACUUUUAAUUGAAGCCUUGAAUGAAAGGAUAAAUGAAUAAUUACUAUAUUAUAUUAAUUUAUUAUAAUUUAUUUAAAAGGUGAAAAUCCCUUUAUUAUAUAUAAUAGACGAGAAGACCCUAGGAGUUUAUAAAAUUUAUUUUGUUGGGGCAACAUUAUAGCAUUUAAUCUAUAAUUAUAAAUUAAUGAAACGAGAAAUUCUAAUAAUAAUUAAACUACCCUAGGGAUAACAGCAUAAAGUUUGUGACCUCGAUGUUGGACUAGGGAAUUUAAAGUUAACAGCGUUAAAUGAUAGUUCUGUUCGAACUUAUUUACCU